UUUUAUUAUGAUUAUUAUUUUUAUUUCCAGGGGAACGAUGAAUUUCUCCAACCAUCCCGUCUCACUGGAAAGGCUGGCUCUGCUGUCCUCUCCCCGAGCAUCUUGGGAGCCGCGGUGAUGGUCCGCGGCUGUUUUGAGGCUGGGCUGUGAGAUCAGAGCACAAACCAGUUCUUCUCCACCUUUCAUCAUCGGGGCGGGAGCAGGGCCUAGCUCUGUGUGUGCUGCUUGGCAUUGAGCUGAGGGCAGAGGAUUCCAUCCCAGGCAGAACUACCCCAGGCAUGGCCAGGAUUCUCACCAGGGUCAGAAGUGGCUGUAGUGAAAAUGGCAAUUUCCCCUAAUUUGUUGUUAAUGAGACUCAGCCUCUCCCCAUGGCCUGGGCCAAGGUGUGCUGAUUGCUGGAGAAGGGUGCCUGGUCCCUGCCCGGGUAAGCUUGCUCUGCAAAGCUGUGAAGGCAGUGAGAAAACACCCUCAGAAACACUGAGAAACACUCCAUGCCAAAUGAGCACUAGGAAAGAGAACAGCCCGUGCCAAAGGCCAGCCAGAAAGUGCUUUGCUGUGUCCUGGCAGGGCAUACAGGGAACCAAAAUGCUCCAGCAAAGCAGGUGGGACCCCUCCAGUUCUCACGGUGCAGACCCACAGACUUGGAGUGCAGCUGAGGCAGCAGGGAGGGAAGCAGCAAGGCACGGAACAACAGGUCCCAGCAGCGAGGUGCCAGCCUGGGGGACACGCACACCUCGAGCCCCAGGUCGGGGACACGCACACCUCUGACAUGGGACUGCCAUGGCCCUGCCUCGUGGCCAUCUGUGGGCAGAGCAUCCUGCCCUGGGACCAGGCGUGCUCAGGUGACCGACAUCUCCAGCUGUGCCUCUUUGCUGGCUGCGAAAGCUCCUGGAUGCAGCAUUGCCUCUCAGAAACCACACAAAUCCCCUGCCAGAAAAGCAGGUGCUAAAAUCAUAGCUCAAGGAUACCAAAUGGCCAUCUGCCUCUGGGCAGAUCAAAGUUUGUUGUGUUUUCUAGAAGUGCUGUUGUACAGCUUCGUGAACAAAGCAUGGACGACCUGUGAGCGAGGUGCUAAAAGAGAGGUGCUUCUUCUCUGGUGGCAAAAAUUCUUCAUGGUGAGGAGCUCCCUGAGGCUGCACUGCAGCCACUGGUGAUUGUCCCCCUCUACUCUGCUCUUGUGAGGCCCCAUCUGAAGUACUGUGUCCAGGUCUGGAGCCCCCAGUAUAAGAAAGACAGAGCUGUUGGAGAGGGUCCAGAGGAGGGCCACAAAGAUGAUCAGGGGACUGGAGCACCUCCCCUACGAAGACAGGCUGAGGGAGCUGGGCUUGUUCAGCCUGGAGAAAAGAAGGCUGCGGGGUGACCUCAUUGCAGCCUUUCAGUACCUAAAGGGAGCCUACAAACAGGAGGGGAAUCAACUCUUUGAAAGUAUACAUAACAGCAGGAUGAGGGGAAAUGGUUUUAAGUUGAGGGAGGGGAGAUUUAGGUAGGAUGUCAGGGGAAAGUUCUUUACAGAGAGUGGUGAGGUGCUGGAACAGGCUGCCCAGAGAGGUUGUGGAUGCCCCGUCCAUCCCUGGAGGUGUUCAAGGCUAAAUUGGACGGGGCCCUGGGCAGCCUGGUCUAGUAUUAAAUGAGGAGGUUGGUGGCCUUGCAUGUGGCAGGGAGGUUGGAGCUUCAUGAUCCUUGAGGUCCCUUCCAACCUUGGCCAUUCUGUGUGUGAUUCCGUGUGCCAGGUUCUUCAGGGAAAGCAGGGCAGAGGCAGGGCCAGCCU
rnacentral:lncRNA from 1 species